GGUCCCGUGGAGCAGAGGCCGACUCGACACCCGGUCAGGGUGGAAUCGCCGGUUCGCAUCCGGUCGGGGCCG
rnacentral:tRNA from 1 species